UACGUAGGGUGCAAGCGUUGUCCGGAAUUAUUUGGCGUAAAGAGCUUGUAUGCGGUUUGUCGCGUCUGCUGUGAAAUUUCGGGGCUCAACCCCGAACUUGCAGUGGGUACGGGCAGACUAGAGUGUGGUAGGGGAGACUGGAAUUCCUGGUGUAGCGGUGAAAUGCGCAGAUAUCAGGAGGAACACCGAUGGCGAAGGCAGGUCUCUGGGCCGCUACUGACGCUGAGAAGCGAUAGCAUGGGGAGCGAACAGG
rnacentral:rRNA from 1 species